AUCCGAUUGACGAGUCCUAAAUAGGACGAAACGCGCAUCAAACUGGAU
rnacentral:hammerhead_ribozyme from 1 species